CAGGAAUCGACUCGAAUGAUCGCGUUUGCGACACAAUGAAGUUGGAAAAAGGAAUAUUGCUGCGCAGAAACUGCCGCACGGAAUGCGACUACAUGGUGCGUCCUGGUCAAUCUACUCAUCAUUGUGUCGUGAUUACUGGGAACGGACCUAUACCGCCAGAUUAUAACGAUUAUGCCUGCCGUGUGGGAUACUGCGUAAAAGGGCUCUGUGUGUAUCUUUCUAAUUAUCUCGAAAGAUGCCGGGCUGCACCAGCUUACUUUUGAGGACGUCAGAAAAAUGCCAUCGCAGUAACUUUGUUGGUAAACAUUGUAUGCUUAGCAUGAACCUACUAGCCAGAAUUGAAGGCUACAAAAGUGAAUAAAGU